AAGUCGUAACAAGGUUUCCGUAGGUGAACCUGCGGAAGGAUCAUUAAUGAAAUUUAUGACUGGAGUUGUAGCUGGCCCUUAAAAACGGCAUGUGCACGCUCCUUUCACUAAUCCACACACACCUGUGUGCACCUUCGCGGGGGUCUUCUUUUCGGAGAAGGCUCGCGUCCCUUUACACACCCUUUGUAUGUCUUAAGAAUGUCUACUCGAUGUAAUAAAACGCAUCUAAUACAACUUUCAACAACGGAUCUCUUGGCUCUC
rnacentral:misc_RNA from 1 species